AAAAUGGCAGGAAGAACCGAGAGAAACUGAGAAAAAGAAAGGAGAAGAAGAUGAAAGAUAAAGGAAAUAUGAAACACUAGGAAACUAGAAGCUAGGAACUAUUCCAUCUUUUCUCCAAUUUAAAGUCCUGUUUGGCUGUAAUAUAAGGUAAGUUAAGAACUUCAAUUUGGUUGAAAUUUUUUCGAGUUGGGAGUAGUAAUAAAGAAGAGCAUGACAUUGAAGAGUGAUGGGAACUAAAGAGCGGUAUGUGUUUGUAAAAUUGUCAUAGAAAAAUUAGUCAUUAUGGGAGUUUAGUGUAGCUUGUUUAUUUGCAAUUACCAUUUAAUUAAAUGAACUUGUGAUUAAAGAACAAGGAAUUGAAAUGGAAAAUUGGGCAUUUAUACGUAUAGUGGCAAACAUGUAUGUAAGAAACAAGGAAAGGAAAUUGAAUAGGUAGAAAGACAGUUGAAAAUUUUAUAUGCAUAAAAGUAAGAAGAUGUUGGGUUCUUGCUUCAGCAACCAAACUCGAAAAGGAAAGAAAUGUUUUGUGUCAUUUUAUUAAUACUUUGGAAUGGGAAAUUGUGUAUAUAUUAGCAUAUGGAUAUGUGUGCUCACUUGACUAAAACGGGAAGAUAAAAAGAAAUGAGUAAUAGUUGAGAUUUUGAGGUUUGGCUGAUUUUUCAGGUUGGUUUUGUCCAUGUUUAAGGGGAAACUUUGUCAAAUUUUUUAUAGAAAUAUGUCACAGUCAAAGCAGGUCAAGUUUGCCUUGGUGGUGGGUCUAGCAUUUAGCUGGCAUCUACCAUUGGAGCACGACAUGUGUCAAGUCAAUUAGGUUGAAUCGGGACGGGUCGUGUCACAUCUCUACCAAAAAGUCCUCCAAAAUUUGGUUUUCUUUCCUAACAGCUUCGUUGAUCAGGUGUCUCUUCUUCAUCAAUUCUACAACAACUUUUGAUUUGGGAGUUGGCUCAUAUUGAGUAUAAAUAUUGAAUAUGUCUUGCUUGUCCUCCAUCCUCAAUACCAACUCACCAUUCUCCAUGCCAAUUAGGGUUCGUCCCAUUGCUAAGAAUGGAAAUAUCUCGAUCUUCUGGUAUGUCCAGGAAAUAUAAAGUUUCCUACUUGUACGAAUACAUCCUCAGCUUUGCCACGUAGGCUUACAAUUGUUCUAUCAGCUAGUUGUAGCAUUAUUGAUGUUGAUUUGGCUUUACCUAGUUCCAAUUUUCCGUAAACGGAAUAUGACAUUAGGUUGGUACUUGCACUUGUGUCACAAAAUGCUUUAACUGAAUAGGGAUUUCCAAUUGAAACUAGCAAAGUAAAACUCCCUGGAUCCUUCAACUUAAGAGACAAUUUUUCAUGACCCUUGUAUUACUUUUCUCAGUUAAUGCCACAGUCUCAAAUUCUAGAAUCCUAUUUUCUUUGUCAACAUCUCUUUCAAAAACUUCGCGUAGCUUGAAAUUUGUAAUAUUACAUCAAUGAAUGGAAUAUUAAUCUGGAGCUUUUUGAGAGCAUCAAGAAAAUUUUUGUAAUUUGUGUCUUGUUUGUUCUUCUUAAGCCUUUGAAGAAAUGGAAUGGGAGACAUAUAAGUUUUGACUGGACUCGUUGCCUUGGUAAUAGAUGUUUCUGCACUUACUUUAUUUUUCGUUGAGGUUGGUGCAGAUUUUCCACCUUGGUAGAUUCAUCAAUCACAUUCUGGUCAUCUUCACCUUCUGAUCUCUUUGCAUUAAUUUUUGACGAUUAUACCUCACCCUUUGUAGCUAUAUAUGAAUAUUUUGCUCUGUUGAAUUCUUUUAAAGUCUUUGGGGAAAUGGAAGUGAGGGUACAUAUACUUUAACGUUCGUAGAGGCCCUAGGUAGAUUGUUUUCCACUACUCUAAUUACCAUCACCUGUUCUUUAGGAUUUAUCAUUGUAUUGUUGCACUAUUUGACCAAUUUGUUUCUCCAGUUUCUUGAAGGAUGCAUGCUGAUUUUGAAAGUUUGUGUCAAUUUGCUAAACACAUUGUCUGUCUUCAGCAUAUAUUGAUUGAACAUCUCACCCAAACUUGGUUUUUCUUUGGUUGAGUAUUAUUUGAUCUAUUCCCUUGUUGAUUAUCUGACCAUCUGAAGUCUGGGUAUUGCCUCCACCCUGGGUUAAAUGCUUGUGAAAAUGGAUUAAAAUUUCGAUAGUCAUUCUGAACGCAGUUGACUUGAUGAUUGUCUGACCAUCUGAAGUCUGGGUAUUGCCUCCAUCCUUGUUGAUUAUCUGACCAUCCCAUAAACGUUCAGUUUUCUGUCAGAUGAUUGGCUCUGCAAUUCUCACAUGAUGGAUAGCUAUCAUUGCAUUUGCUCCAUGUGUUCGCAAUUUUACAAAUAACUAUACCUAUUUUAUUAAAGCUGUUAUCAAUGCAUUGGUAGAUGUUGUGUUGUCUAAUUCAUAUUUUCUAGCUGCCUUUGGUGGUACUACUCUUUCUGAUGAAAACAUUGAAUGUAUGGUGACAAUUAACUCAAAAGAUACAUGGUUUGUUGCACUGAUUUUCCUAUGAUUGAUCUGGCAGUAGAGGCAUCCACAUGAGAUUUUUACAAUAGUGUAAGUCCGGUGUAUAAAUACUUUAGUUGGUUUCCUAUAGUGAUUCCAUAGUUUGGACACUUUAUCAUCAGCUCAUUAAAUCUAU
rnacentral:lncRNA from 1 species